CUCAGCUGGCCGCAGAGGAAGGCCAUCGCCAUUGGCGUGGCCCAAGGGCUCUGCCACUUACACCAUGGAUGCAAUAGACCGAUUGUCCACCACAACAUCACCUCUAAUAACAUCUUGCUUGAUCAGGAGUUGAAUGCCAAGAUCGCCAGUUUUGGUGCUGCACAG
rnacentral:rRNA from 1 species